rnacentral:rRNA from 1 species
CCUACGGGAGGCUGCAGUGAGGAAUAUUGGUCAAUGGCCGGAAGGCUGAACCAGCCAAGCAGCGUGAAGGACGAAGGUGCCAAGCAUUGUAAACUUCUUUUGUCAAGGGACAAAAUCAGGCUCGAGAGGGUGACUGAGGGUACUUGAAGAAAAAGCAUCGGCUAACUCCGUGCCAGCAGCCGCGGUAAUACGGAGGAUGCGAGCGUUAGCCGGAUUUAUUGGGUUGAAAGGGGGCGUAGGCGGACUGUUAAGUCAGCGGUAAACUCCCGGGGCUCAACCCAGGCGAGCCGUUGAAACUGGCUGUCUUGAGAUGUCUAGAGGUAUGCGGAAUGCGCAGUGUAGCGGUGAAAUGCUUAGAUAUUGCGCAGAACUCCGAUUGCGAAGGCAGCAUACCGGCGGCGAUCUGACGCUGAGGCACGAAAGCGUGGGUAUCGAACAGGAUUAGAUACCCGGGUAGUC